rnacentral:rRNA from 1 species
GCUGUUGGCGAUACACAGUCAGCGGCCGCGCGAAAGUAUUAAGUGAACCACCUGGGGAGUACGUUGGCAACAAUGAAACUCAAAGGAAUUGACGGGGACCCGCACAAGCGGUGGAACAUGUGGUUUAAUUCGAUGAUACGCGAGGAACCUUACCUGGACUUAAAUGUAGGCUGCAUAGACUAGAGAUAGUCUUUUCUUCGGACUGCUUACAAGGUGCUGCAUGGUUGUCGUCAGCUCGUGCCGUGAGGUGUCGGGUUAAGUCCCAUAACGAGCGCAACCCCUAUCGUUAGUUGCCAUCAGGUCAAGCUGGGGACUCUAACGAAACUGCCGGUGUAAACCGCGAGGAAGGUGGGGAUGACGUCAAAUCAGCACGGCCCUUACGUCCAGGGCUACACACGUGUUACAAUGGCAUAUACAGAGGGCAGCUACACGGCGACGUGAUGCUAAUCUCGAAAGUAUGUCUCAGUUCGGAUCGGAGUCUGCAACCCGACUCCGUGAAGUUGGAAUCGCUAGUAAUCGCGCAUCAGCCAUGGCGCGGUGAAUACGUUCCCGGGUCUUGUACACACCGCCCGUCAAGCCAUGGAAGCCGAGGGUACCUGAAGUACGUAACCGUAAGGAGCGUCCUAGGGUAAAAUUGGUAACUGGGGCUAAGUCGUAACAAGGUAGCCG